rnacentral:lncRNA from 1 species
GGGUAGUGACACAAAUAUCUGUUAGGGGUCCCUUUUGGCUAAGUACUGUCAUGACCAUAGAAUAUCUAAUAGGAAUACUAUGAUUGGUACGAUCGUGGUCAUAGAUCAUACCAUGGUUUGGCAAGCCAAAAAUGUGUCCUAAGCAAAUUGUCAUAUCUGUAUCUGAUAUGCUCAUUCCACAUGGACAACUGGAAAUUUUUAUAUGCCUUCAGAGAUAGAAAUCGUAACAACUUCGCGAAGCAUAACACAAAAAUAUGAGCAUUUCAUGAUUUAUUUAAUUUUCUCUAUUUUUGGUAUGAUAUGUGUUUGUUUGAUUAUACUA